rnacentral:rRNA from 1 species
UACAGAGGUCCCGAGCGUUGUUCGGAUUCACUGGGCGUAAAGGGUGCGUAGGUGGCAUGGUAAGUUUGAUGUGAAAGCUCAGGGCUCAACCCUGAAAUGGCAUUGAAUACUACUGUGCUGGAGGUUUGGAGGGGGGACUGGAAUUCUUGGUGUAGCAGUGAAAUGCGUAGAUAUCGUGAGGAACACCAGAGGCGAAGGCGGCUACCUGGACAAUUGCUGACACUCAGGCACGAAAGCGUGGGGAGCAAAAGGG